AUGUCCCUAUCUUAUGAGCAGUCAAAAAGCCUAAUUCUGCAGUGUAGCAAUGUUUGUAUGAUCGGAGGCACUAAAAUUCUCUCGGUGGAUCCGGCCCUCGUGCUGCGGUUCCUCUUUGAGCCAUUGAAAGAGACGUCGUGCUGUGUGCAGCUGACCAACAAGACAGGUGGCUUCAUCGCAUUCAACAUAUUGAUCAACAAGAACAAGUACAGUGUGCGUCCAAGCCAAGGGAGCAUACUGCCGUGCUCCAGGCGUUAUGUUGUCGUCACACUGUCAGCGCAAGAGGCGGCGCCGCCGUACAUGCGGUGUGACGACAUGCUCCUGGUGCAGAGCACCAGCAUCACCCAAGAUGUGGUGAGAUCAAUUAUCAAGAAUUGUUCGGGAUGGCAUGAGGGAGAAGGUAGUUGA
rnacentral:rRNA from 1 species